rnacentral:rRNA from 1 species
AUACGGAGGGUGCGAGCGUUAAUCGGAAUUACUGGGCGUAAAGGGUGCGUAGGCGGCUUGAUAAGUCGGAUGUGAAAGCCCCGGGCUUAACCUGGGAAUUGCAUUCGAUACUGUCAGGCUAGAGUAUGUCAGAGGUUGGCGGAAUUCCUGGUGUAGCGGUGAAAUGCGUAGAUAUCAGGAGGAACACCAGUGGCGAAGGCGGCUAACUGGGGCAAUACUGACGCUGAGGCACGAAAGCGUGGGGAGUAAACAGGAUUAGAAACCCUAGUAGUCC